rnacentral:rRNA from 1 species
ACGAACGCUGGCGGCGUGCUUAACACAUGCAAGUCGAACGGAAAGGCCCUGCUUUUGUGGGGUGCUCGAGUGGCGAACGGGUGAGUAACACGUGAGUAACCUGCCCUUGACUUUGGGAUAACUUCAGGAAACUGGGGCUAAUACCGGAUAGGAGCUCCUGCUGCAUGGUGGGGGUUGGAAAGUUUCGGCGGUUGGGGAUGGACUCGCGGCUUAUCAGCUUGUUGGUGGGGUAGUGGCUUACCAAGGCUUUGACGGGUAGCCGGCCUGAGAGGGUGACCGGCCACAUUGGGACUGAGAUACGGCCCAGACUCCUACGGGAGGCAGCAGUGGGGAAUAUUGCACAAUGGGCGGGAGCCUGAUGCAGCAACGCCGCGUGCGGGAUGACGGCCUUCGGGUUGUAAACCGCUUUCGCCUGUGACGAAGCGUGAGUGACGGUAAUGGGUAAAGAAGCACCGGCUAACUACGU